UUAGAUCCACAGAUGGGUGGUGUACUAGUUUUCAUAGGUGGUUGCAAUAGGAGUCUUGAGGCACUGGAUGAUAUGUUUUACUUGUACACAGGUUUAGUGCAGUCUUUUCAAUUUUCCCUUGAAUUGAAGUUUCUUACCUUCUAUUGGGAUUUGAUUAUGUGAUUCCACGAAUCCUUUAAAGAGCUUAUGAUUUUGCUUUAUUUGGAUAGCUUGAUAAACUGUCUAAUUUUAGGACUUACAAGCAUGCAAGAUGAACGGCGGGUAGAAAAAUUGUCCUUGAGGAAGCAAUUGAAGUUGAGAUGCCAAGAACAAAAUAUUAACUCUCCUGUACAUGAUAAAGCUAUGCUUAGAAUUGAUACAAGUACUGACUUCCACCACACUGUGCCAACUUAUGCCCAACCAAGUAUGAUAUGAGUUACUGUCUUUUUUAAUGAUCUGUUGUAGUUUUCUAGCAUAAAAUUGAAGUUGGUAAUUCUUCAUGUGCAACUUUCUGAACUGGGGAUCACAAAAGGUGGUCUCAUACCAUUAUGGUGAGGAAAAAUUGCUUGAGAGCGUGUGGUAGUAUUAUGUCUCUCUUGCUGCUCUCAGUCAUUUCAUUUUAUCAAGUUAAUUGGUACUAAUCAACCUUCUAGUAUUUGUUCCUUUGAGAUGUUUACGUGUCCUCAAAGUUUUGAAUUUGUAUCUAAAUUUAAAUGUAUCUAGAAAGCUUUUAGGUUGGACACUUACCUAACAUGGUAUUAGAUUUUGUUGCUGUUGACUCAGGUGCUGGGCUGUUAUUGUUAUUGUUAUUGUUGUUGUCAAAUGCAUUGUGUUAAUGUUGUUGUGUCUGGUGUAGUUAUGUUAGGCCUGCACCAGGAGGUUGGGCGAAGGGGAUGGGGUGAUUGGGUACUCCUUCAUAGAUCAAGUAUAAAUAUUUUAAGGGUGGAGCUCUUUAUCUAUUAGCUAAAUCUUUUGGGUUGGAUGCUCAUCUAGCAUAUGUUCUAGAGGCAUUUUUCAUAGGAAAAGAGAUAAUAUUUGUUUCUCACAUUGAAGGCUUUGUAGCCUCUGGAAUCUUCUCCAUUGUUCUCUCCAGUACAAUAUCUUGAUGUUCUAUAAUUUGGGUGAGCUGUUAGAAGAAAUUUUUUUAUUGGAAGGAAUUGCCUUUUCCAAAACUAGAGAUGGAUGGUGUGAUACCUCUCUCUAUAUUUAUAUAUAGUGGAUAUGCCUUUACAGAUGUGGAGGAAGUUCUAGGACUCCUGAUUUUUUUUCCUGUUGCUGCUGUUUUAAUGCAUUUUUGUCUCUUUAAUCACAAAAAGGGUGUUUGCUCUUUAAAUGCAGUAAGAAGUAAUGAUAGAAAUCACAUCUUUGCAGAAUUUCCAAAUCACAACUAUCUUAUUAACUUGGAAUAAUAGACCAGUGAUUAAAAGAAUUUUAUGUGAUGAAAACUUGGCAAACACACAUUCCUUCCUUUCCAUACUUUACUCAACUAUGUUGAUGAUCAAUGUAGAGAAAAUGUUUUCCACUGGGACCAUGAAUGAUAAAAUUUUUUUAGUAUGCUAAAAAUCAAGUAGCUGGAAACCUUUCCAGUCACUUAUACUGUAUCGCAGACUUUAAUUAUCUGUUUUUAUUAGCUAAAAACUGAGCCAUUGAUGGUUACAGGGAUUUGGUUUAUAUGGGGCUUACAAGUUUGGUUUCAUCAACAUAAACUGAGAGUAGUGUUAAUAAUGUUGUGAAAUACAUAUUAAAAGGGAUGUGAAUUAUGUUCCCAAAAAUUUAGUGCUUUGUUCACAGGUAGAGAGAGUUUUCGACUGAAUCAAGUGCAGCUUCAUCAAGGGAAGAAGACAUUUCAAG
rnacentral:misc_RNA from 1 species